rfam:Triticum aestivum genome assembly, contig: Triticum_aestivum_CS42_TGACv1_scaffold_362256_4DS
GUAAUACUCCCUCCCUCCCUAAUUACUUGUCGCAGAAAUGGAUGUAUCUAGACGUAUAAUACAUCCAUUUCUGCGACAAGUAAUUCGGGACGGAGGGAGUAUGUA